rnacentral:misc_RNA from 1 species
ACUAGUAAAGUGGGACUUGGAGUAGGCCCUGCUUUGUUCAUAUGGUUUUGUUCUCUUGCGGGCAUUGGGAUAUACAACCUUGUUAAAUAUGACAGCAGUGUCGUGAGGGCAUUUAAUCCUGUUUACAUCUAUUACUUCUUCAAGCGGAAUUCUACUAAGGCUUGGCAUGCCCUCGGAGGUUGCCUCCUAUGUGCAACAGGUUCUGAGGCAAUGUUCGCAGAUCUUUGCUACUUUUCUGUCAGAUCAAUUCAGCUUACAUUUGUAUUUCUCGUUUUGCCGUGCCUUUUAUUGGGUUAUUUGGGUCAAGCUGCUUACCUUAUGGAAAAUCAUACAGGGGAUGUGGCUGAGCAAGCAUUUUUUUCAUCAGUUCCAAGUGGUGCUUUCUGGCCAGUUUUCCUCAUUGCUAAUAUAGCUGCUUUGAUUGCCAGCCGAGCCAUGACAACAGCCACUUUUUCUUGCAUAAAACAAUCAACUGCACUUGGUUGUUUCCCCCGUCUUAAAAUCAUUCAUACAUCUCGAAAAUUCAUGGGUCAGAUAUAUAUUCCUGUAAUAAACUGGUUUUUGCUAGUAGUCUGCCUGGUAUUCGUCUGCUCUAUCUCUAGCAUUACUGAGAUGGGAAAUGCAUAUGGAAUUGCUGAGCUGGGGGUGAUGAUGAUGACAACAGUUUUAGUAACUAUUGUUAUGCUUCUUAUAUGGCAGAUAAACAUCAUUAUCGUUCUCAGUUUUGUGGUUAUUUUCCUAGGAAUAGAACUGACCUUUUUCUCAUCAGUUUUAGCGCUUGUGGGGGAUGGAAGUUGGAUAAUAUUGGUUUUUGCUGCAAUUAUGUUUCUUAUAAUGUACAUUUGGAACUAUGGGAGCAAGCUAAAAUAUGAAACUGAGGUUAAGAAAAAGCUGUCGAUGGAUUUAAUGCGGGAAUUAGGCCCCAACCUUGGGACGAUCCGAGCGCCAGGAAUUGGCUUGCUCUAUAAUGAGCUGGUGAAGGGAAUUCCUGCUAUAUUUGGCCAUUUUCUUACCACUCUCCCAGCAAUCCACUCCAUGAUCAUAUUUGUGUGUAUAAAGUAUGUUCCGGUUCCAGUAGUGCCUCAGGGUGAAAGGUUCCUUUUCCGGCGAGUUUGCCCUAAAAGCUACCACAUAUUUCGAUGUAUUGCCAGGUAUGGCUACAAGGACGUCCGCAAAGAGAAUCACCAGGCAUUUGAACAGCUUUUAAUCGAGAGCCUUGAGAAGUUUAUUCGUCGGGAAGCCCAAGAACGGUCAUUGGAGAGUGACGGGGAUGAUGAUACAGACUCUGAAGAAGAGUCUGCUUGUACCAGGGUUCUAAUAGCUCCCAAUGGAAGUGUUUACUCGCUUUGUGUGCCUCUCUUGGAUGACUACAGGGAUACAAGCAAGCCCAUUUCUGAAGCAAGCACCUCUGAGGAGGUGAAACUAGGGACUUCUGCUGACCCAACGAUGUCUGAUCCAGAACAGAGCCUUGAAAGGGAGCUUUCUUUUAUACGCAAGGCUAAAGAAUCUGGGGUUGUUUAUCUUCUUGGUCAUGGUGAUAUAAGGGCAAGGAAGGAUUCAUGGUUUAUAAAGAAGCUAGUCAUAAAUUACUUCUAUGCUUUUCUGAGAAAGAACUGCAGAAGAGGGGUUGCGAAUUUGAGUGUUCCGCACUCGCAUCUCAUGCAGGUUGGCAUGACAUACAUGGUUUGAGAAAUUGAUUUUGCUAUCCAAAUAAGGCAAGUCUUAGUUACUUUUGACACUGCAGUUUGAUGCAUGCGAUUGCCAAUUGAUUGGAGCGUUGCAUCCAUGCGUUCACAAAUGGGUAUGUCAAUUUCGUGAAGCAAAAUGCGUAUGUGAGUUUGCACAUGCUUGCAUCAUUUUCUUGACUAAACCUCUUAGUGAGAGUUCACUCUUUGAUUCAGGAAGUUUUGUAGUCUUGAAAUCGGGCUGCCUUUAUCAUAUUUGUUUUAUUGUUGUUACAGAUGCAUACGCAAUCAACCCUUGUAAUUAACAUUUCAAAGUGAUAUGAAUUUUCUUUAUGGUAAAUCACAU